rnacentral:piRNA from 1 species
GUAAUGAAGUGAGUGUAGGAUGUAGUCAG